UUUUCAAAUGCAGGCCAGACAUAAAGAGGACAGUUGACUACUAGCAAGGGAGACAGCAACAUCAGCUGACUGAGCUCCUGCUCAGGGACUUGGAGUGCCAAGGACACAACAAUCAAACAGCCAGCAACUGGACAGGCAGGCAGCAGGGGGAAGUGAGGCACCUGUAUCCCUGAGUUACCAUACUGAGUUCCCUAACGCCUUGCCAGAAAGCACCUCAUGAUGUAUGUGCAGACCCAAUCACUGGACCCAGGAGAACCACCACACUUGGGAACAGCCCUUCCUUUGCACCUGCACACCCAGUUGGGGACCCCUAUGGCCCCAUGCUUGGGCACAACCCCAUGGACCCUGACACUGAAAUCCACAUACCAUAUCUUGGAGGCCAGAGCCAGGCACCCUGUGACUAGGAGCCCAGCAUAAAUGCCUCCCCUCCUGAGCAGGAGCCAGUGGGUGGCAGCUUGCCUCUGGUGGGUCAGGAAGUGGGUGGGGGGGGCAGAAUAUCUGGACUGGGCCUGCAUAGAAGUGACCCUGUGACCUCCAUAGCUCAGCCACUGCCAGUAGGACCCAGGCUAAGUGCACCUUGGGUUUUUUGGCCUACAGCUACAGGGUCCCAGAGUACUAGCGCUGGGAAGGGCAGUAUACUGAGAAUCCAAACCAAAGCAAGCAGGUGGAUGCCCCUGGAAACUUGAGGAACAGGUAGGAUGGCUAGGUACCUUGGUUUUGCAGAUGGAGAACACUGGAAAUUUCCAGGCUGGGGCAUGGGACAUUGCCAGCAACAUGAAGGCAUCUUUUGGAAAGCCCCAGAAAGUUCAAGAUUAUGGCUAAUGGAGCCUCAGCCACUCUGGAGCAAGGGCUGCAUCCAGCUGAAGCAAGAGGGAGAGCCACACACAAGUAACUGCAACUAUAUCCAUCCAUCCACCUCCUUGCAGCCAGACUCUCACCCACCCAUGGACACCAAAAUCCUACAGAGACUACUGUGGGCCUUGGAAGACUCCGUCCUGUCUUCCUCUAGUACCCACCACUGGUAAAGCAACUAGGGCCAUGGGAAGAUUUGGGAUCUCAUUGCCAUCUGUGGUGGGCAGGAGAUCUGGAUUAGCUCUGCAAUGGGUAUUACAGCAGGGAUGUGCUCAAGCACAUUUCCCAACAGAUGCAAACAUGGGGUCCCACCCAGGGACUGGGUUUGGUGCUGGGAUAAGACAAAAUGAAUAACAAUCCAGUGCAUGCAUGUGCAUGAUGCCAAUAAAAUGUCCAGGGGGAAAAGACAAUAUAUGCUUUCUACCACAGGCGAACCUGUGUCACAAAACUGGUACAUAAAUCUGCCUCAUGUAUGCCUCCCUGCUCUCUUUAUCUUUCAGGGCCAUGGUUAGCUACUGGGAGAAGCUAAGCCUCUUCCCAGGUACCCAGAGCACUGGUGCUGAAACAGCUGUCCCCCUUUUCCUUGCACUCACAGAAAGGCACUAAAAUAAUUUAAAGAACUCUGCAAUUAAAGUGUAAAAAAACCAAGUACAGGUGCUAGUGGCUUGCAACCUGGUUGGCAGUGCCCCAGGGCUGGAUGGCAGAGAUGAACCUGAGGUCAGGAUAGCAGAUUCCACACAGAUAUCUAUAAGAAUCACUAAAAAUGCAGUACUCCAGGAAUGAGAAAAAUCCCCCCUUGCCAAAUGUCCUGUCUUCCCCCCUCUCUCCUUUCCCCCUUCCUCACAGUCCAGGAAAGGCACAGAUGUAAUGGCAGAAGUCUCACAUGGGAACUGUUAUCUCAGCCGAUCUGAUUCCACUGCCAGGGAGAUUCCUGGGUUAUACAUCUGGAAAGGCUUGCAAAUGGCACUCCAGCACUGAUCUAAUCUCUGGGGAAGGUCUAGUGGAUCCAUGAGACUGAGUUUCAUGGCACAGGUAAUCACUGUAGUAACUCCUCAAGCAACACCCACUCCCCCUUUCACAUAUUUCCGCACCGCUGCCCCUCUUCAAAUGUUUGCAUCAGUGGGAAGAGGGACCAAGCUGUGACACAGGAAACAUUUAACACUAUAUAUUAGUAGCAUUUCAUUUUAAUCAUUUUAAAAAAUGUGGAUUUUGGGAUGCUUUUUUUAAUACAUAAAUUAGGUAUUUUUUUAUCAGAGGAAACCAGGAUCCUUGCAGAUCACCCUGAAGUUCCAGGGCAUCCUGGGUGGGGACAAGGGUCAAUAGGUGGCUCUGUGGGAAGGCCAGCUGCUGGCUCUGGGGCAGGAAGCCAAUUCCAUGGUGAACAGCUGCUACACAUGUCCAGAUGGCUGAGCAUUAUAUCCAACAGCCUCCAGCAUUAGUUGCACAGGGUGACAAGCAGGACAUGCUGCAGCUCCUGGAUCUGUAUGCUUGGGUGUGGGCAGUGAGGCACCAUGGUGGGUCUUGGUAGGCCAGCGCAUGGAGGCAUGCAUGAUUAACAAGGAAAGGCACUUGCUCUGGGGCUGUUCUGGAAAC